ACAAAAGCUUGGUCCUGACUUUUCUAUCAGCUUUGGUUUAACUUAUACAUGCAAGUAUCCGCACCCCUGUGAGAAUGCCCUCCGCGCCCCCCCCCCGUAACGGGUCGAAGGAGCGGGUAUCAGGCGCGACUCUAAGUCAGCCCACGACGCCUUGUUUAGCCACACCCUCAAGGGAACUCAGCAGUAAUAAAUAUUAAGCAAUAAGUGCAAACUUGACUUAAUUAAGACCAAUCAGGGCCGGUAAAACUCGUGCCAGCCACCGCGGUUAUACGAGAGGCCCAAGUUGAUAAACACCGGCAUAAAAUGUGGUAAGUACAAAAAGAUACUAAAGCCGAACGCCUUCAAGACUGUUAUAAGUUUUCGAAAAUAGGAAGCCUACCCACGAAAGUGGCUUUAAGAUAUAUGAUCCACGAAAGCUAGGGGACAAACUGGGAUUAGAUACCCCACUAUGCCUAGCCAUAAACAUAAGUAAAAUUAGCCCACCCACUUGCCCGGGAACUACGAGCAUAAGCUUAAAACCCAAAGGACCUGGCGGUGCUUUAAACCCCCCUAGAGGAGCCUGUUCUAUAACCGAUAGUCCCCGUUAAACCUCACCCUCUCUUGUUCUUCCCGCCUAUAUACCGCCGUCGUCAGCCCACCCUGUGAAGGUAUAAUAGUGGGCUCAAUUGGUACUACCUAAAACGUCAGGUCGAGGUGUAGCGUACGAGAGGGGAAGAAAUGGGCUACAUUUACUGGUUCAGUAAAUACGGACAAUGCUCUGAAACAAGCAUUAGAAGGAGGAUUUAGCAGUAAGGAAGGAAUAGAGUGCCUCCCUGAAACUGGCCCUGAAGCGCGCACACACCGCCCGUCGCCCUCCUCAAAAAUUUUAAAAAUAGUAAAUAAAAAGCAAUAUCAACAAAGAGGAGGCAAGUCGUAACAUGGUAAGUGUACCGGAAGGUGCACUUGGAAAAAU
rnacentral:ncRNA from 1 species